rnacentral:rRNA from 1 species
UACGUAGGGCGCAAGCGUUAUCCGGAAUUAUUGGGCGUAAAGAGCUCGUAGGCGGUUUGUCGCGUCUGCCGUGAAAGUCCGGGGCUCAACGUCCGGAUCUGGCGUGGGUACGGGCAGACUAGAGUGAUGUAGGGGAGACUGGAAUUCCUGGUGUAGCGGUGAAAUGCGCAGAUAUCAGGAGGAACACCGAUGGCGAAGGCAGGUCUCUGGGCAUUAACUGACGCUGAGGAGCGAAAGCAUGGGAGCGAACAGG